CACUAAUUAGUCCCAUAUUUGUGAAACACAUGAGGAGGAAGUGAUGUAAGACUGGGCUAGUAUAAAUUAACAGCCAGGCGUCAUCCCUAACACAUUGCUGCUUUACAGAGGGAGAGACACAGACACUGCUAUUACAAGUGUCAUAAAGUCACUCUAAAGAACUCAUACUACUAAUUAGAGGACUAACAACCUAUCUACGGUGAUUCGGUUCACAGUUUUACUGAAUUUACUGAUAUAUACCCUUGAAGAAGUCAGUUAAACGCGUUGGGUCAUCUACACAACAGCCUGCAACAUUUGAGGGGCAAUCCACCUAUGAGCUCACACCCAUUAGUGUGAGGUGGAAGUCAUAUUACAUCGUAUCCCCCGAACUAGCAGGUUAUAUGUUAUUGUUGCGUAUGAUAAAAUAUUGUACUUUAUGUAUUGCAUCAUGCCUUAUAUGAAGGUCACUUUGUCUGCUAAACAUGAAUAAAUCAUUUUAAGCAAAUUUACUUAUGGUAUUUUAAAAUAAUAUAUCUUCAGGGUAUUUUAUAGAAUAUAUCCAUAGCGCACUGAGGUAUUUUUGUUGCUUAUAUCUAUUUUUAGUCCCCACUAGCAGGGGAUUACCAUUAGUGUGCUGCUACAGAGUUCCCAGCGCAAACUAUAGGAUACUGUAGAUACUGUAUUAAGCCCAGGUCCCGAAAGGGGUGUAUUUUUUUAG